ACUUGAAUCGCGGCGGCACGCUAUAACACAUUUAAGUCGAACGCGAUGGUUCUUCGGUAAACCUAGUAGAGUGGCGCACGGGUGAGUAACGCGUAGAUAACCUACCAUUAUGUCGGGAUAACCCACCGAAAGGUGGACUAAUACCGGAUGUGCUUAUUUAUCAUAAGAGUAAUAAGUAAUAGGUGGCCUCUGAUUUAAGCUACCGCAUGAGGAGGGGUCUGCGUACCAUUAGCUUGUUGGUGGGGUAAUGGCCUACCAAGGCAACGAUGGUUAGCGACUCUGAGAGUGAUGAUCCGUCACACUGGCACUGAAACACGGGCCAGACUGUUACGGAGGCAGCAGUGAGGAAUAUUGCGCAAUGGGGGAAACCCUGACGCAGCGACGACGCGUGAGUGAGGAAGGCCUUCGGGUCGUAAAGCUCUGUCAAGAGGGAAGAGCUGCAUAUUGGUUAAUACCCGUUAUGUACUUAGGUACCUCUAAGAAGCACCGGCUAACUCCGUGCCAGCAGCCGCGGUAAGUGGGAACGUGCAAGCGUUGUUCGGAAUCACUGGGCGUAACUGAUUCGCAGGCGGCCUGUUAAGUCAGAUGUGAAAGACCACGGCUCAACCGUGGAAGUGCAUGCCAAACUGGCAGUGCUUGAGUAUCAGAGUAGAAAGUGGAAUUCCUGGUGUAGAGGUGAAAUUCGUAGAUAUCAGGAGGAAUACCGGUGGCGAAGUGCGACUUAGUGGCUGAAUACUGACGCUGAGGCAGCGACAGCGUGGGAGCAAACAGGAUUAGAUACCCUGGUAGUCCACGCCGUAAACGAUGUCAACUAGAUGUAGGGGGUGUUGAUCCGCCUCUGUGUCGCAGCUAACGCAUUAAGUUGACCGCCUGGGGAGUACGGUCGCAAGAUUAAGACUCAACGGAAUUGACGGCGGAUCCGCACAAGCGGUGGAGUAUGUGGUUUAAUUCGAUGCAACGCGAAGAACCUUACCUGGUCUUGACAUCCCGAGUGAAUUACCUGGAAACAGGACUGACCCUUCAUUAGAAGCCACUUGGUGACAAGAUGCUGCAUGCUGUCGUCAGGCUCGUGUCGUGAGAUGUUGGGUUAAGUCCCGCAACGAGCGCAUACCCUAGCUUUAGUUGCCAGCAGUUCGGCUGGGCACUCUAAGGGACUGCCGGUGUCAAACCGUAGAAGUGGCCAUGACGUCAAGUCCUCAUGGCCUUUAUGACCAGGGCUACACACGUACUACAAUGGCCGGUACAAUCGGCAGCGACAGGCGCGACCUGAAGCGAAUCCCGUACGACCGGUCUCAGUCCGGAUUGGAGUCUGCAACUCGACUCCAUGAAGUCGGAAUCGCUAGAGAUCGUGGAUCAGCAUGCCACGGUGAAUGUGUUCCCGGGCCUUGUACACACCGCCCGUCACACCACGGAGUCGGUUGUACCAGAAGUAGUUGACCUAACCUUCGGCGAACGGAGGCUACCACUUAUGGCAUUGUAACUGGGA
rnacentral:rRNA from 1 species